AGGAUGAACGCUGGCGGCGUGCCUAAUACAUGCAAGUCGAGCGGUAAGGCCCCUUCGGGGGUACACGAGCGGCGGACGGCUGAGUAACACGUAGGAACGUACCCCAAACUGAGGGAUAAGCACCAGAAAUGGUGUCUAAUACCGCAUGUGGUCUUCGGAUUAAAGCUUCGGCGGUUUGGGAACGGCCUGCGCAUGAUUAGCUUGUUGGUGAGGUAAAAGCUUACCAAGGCGACGAUCAUUAGCUGGUCUGAGAGGAUGAUCAGCCAGACUGGGACUGAGAACGGCCCAGACUCCUACGGGAGGCAGCAGUAGGGAAUUUUCCACAAUGGGCGAAAGCCUGAUGGAGCAACGCCGCGUGCAGGACGAAGGCCUUCGGGUUGUAAACUGCUUUUCUCGGGGACGAGUAAGGACGGUACCCGAGGAAUCAGCCCCGGCUAACUACGUGCCAGCAGCCGC
rnacentral:rRNA from 1 species